rnacentral:lncRNA from 1 species
AUGUCACCCUCUACUUUCCCCUUUGGAAGAGAGAUAUCUACUGAGGGUCCCUCAAGGCCAAUGUUUCCCUCAGGCAUCUUCAUCUUUGGUAGCGAUGCAUCAAAUGUAGGCAUCUUAAACUUGCCUCCUUUUCCUGUGGGUCCUUCAAUAUCUAUUUUACCCUCUGCUUUUCCUUUUGGAAGAGAGAUAUCAGCUGUAGGCAUGUUUAUUUUCCCUCCUUUUAUUUUUUUCCCUUUUAGGUCUAAAUCUGCCUCUGGUGUAUUAACCUUGAACUCAGGACCUUCAAUAUCGAUGUCACCUCCCUGUGAUUUGAUCUUUGGUAGUGACACAUCUAAUGAAGGCAUCUGGAACUUUCCUCCUUUGGCUUCAGGACCUUCGAUCUUUACCUCCCCCUCUGAUGAUUUCAUAGUAGGAAGGGAGAUGUCGAGUGAUGGCAUGUUGAACUUUGCUCCCCCUUUGACUUCAGGUCCUUCAAUAUCAACCUCUCCCUCCUUGGUUUUCAUUUUUGGGAGUGAGAUGUCAAAAGUUGGCAUCUUGAACUUGGCUCUGCUACCACCACUGCCCUCAAGCUCCAUGUUGCCCUCCACAUUUGCCUUGGGAAGUGAAAUGUCAAUAUUUGGAAGUUCAGGACAUUCUAGCUUCACAUCUCCUUCAGGUAGCUUCAUUUUUGGGAGAGAAAUGUCUACAGAGGGCAUGUUCAAAUCUCCAUCUACAUUUCCUUGUGGAACAGAGAUAUCGACAGUAGGCAUCUUGAUCUUUCCACCUUUGAUUUCAGGUCCCUCCAAAACAACCUCUCCCUCUGGUGACUUCAUUUUUGGAAGAGAUAUAUUACAUGAAGGCAUCUUAAACCUGCUUCCUUUUCCAUCGAUCUCAACCUCACCCUUGGAUUUACCUUUUGGCAGGGAAAUGUCUACCGAUGGCACUUCAAUUUUCCCUCCUUUAAUCUCAGGUCCUUCUAAGUCAACCUCAGCCCCAGAUGCCCCCAUCUUUGGGAGUCUGACAUCAAGUGAGGGCAUUUUGAACUUCCCUCCUUUUGCAGAUGGACCCUCUAUUUCAAUGUCACCCUCCAUCUUUCCUUUUGGCAGUGAUACAUCAAGAGAGGGCAUCUGGAUGUUAGCUCCACCGUGA